AGAGUUUGAUCAUGGCUCAGGAUGAACGCUGGCGGCGUGCUUAACACAUGCAAGUCGAACGGUCGCAAGACAGUGGCGCACGGGUGAGGAACACGUAGCUGACCUGCCUUCGAGCGCGGGACAACGUACCGAAAGGGACGCUAAUACCGCAUAACCUCAUCACAACUAGAGGGUGAUGAGCAAAGGGUUUACUCGCUUGAAGAGGGGGCUGCGGCCUAUCAGGUAGUUGGUGGGGUAACGGCUCACCAAGCCGACGACGGGUAGGGGGUCUGAGAGGAUGACCCCCCACACUGGGACUGAGACACGGCCCAGACUCCUACGGGAGGCAGCAGUGAGGGAUAUUGCACAAUGGGGGAAACCCUGAUGCAGCGACGCCGCGUGGGUGAUGACGGGCUUCGGCUUGUAAAACCCUUUUUGGCAUGACGAGAACGGACGGUAGUGCCAGAAUAAGCCUCGGCUAACUACGUGCCAGCCGCCGCGGUAAUUC
rnacentral:rRNA from 1 species